AAUAUUGGACAAUGGUCGGAAGACUGAUCCAGCCAUGCCGCGUGCAGGAAGACUGCCCUAUGGGUUGUAAACUGCUUUUAUAUGGGAAGAAUAAGGUCUACGUGUAGACUGAUGACGGUACCAUAAGAAUAAGCACCGGCUAACUCCGUGCCAGCAGCCGCGGUAAUACGGAGGGUGCAAGCGUUAUCCGGAAUCAUUGGGUUUAAAGGGUCCGUAGGCGGGUUUAUAAGUCAGUGGUGAAAGUCUGCAGCUUAACUGUAGAACUGCCAUUGAUACUGUAGAUCUUGAAUUAUUGUGAAGUGGUUAGAAUAUGUAGUGUAGCGGUGAAAUGCUUAGAGAUUACAUAGAAUACCGAUUGCGAAGGCAGAUCACUAACAAUAUAUUGACGCCGAUGGACGAAAGCGUAGGUAGCGAACAGGAUUAGAUACCCUGGUAGUCUACGCCGUA
rnacentral:rRNA from 1 species